rnacentral:rRNA from 1 species
AACGAACGCUGGCGGCAUGCCUAACACAUGCAAGUCGAACGAGACCUUCGGGUCUAGUGGCGCACGGGUGCGUAACGCGUGGGAACCUGCCCUUAGGUUCGGAAUAACUCCCCGAAAGGGGUGCUAAUACCGGUUAAUGUCUUCGGACCAAAGAUGUAUCGCCUUUGGAUGGGCCCUCGUUGGAUUAGCUAGUUGGUAGGGUAAAAGCAUACCAAGGCGACGAUCCAUAGCUGGUCUGAGAGGAUGAUCAGCCACACUGGGACUGAGACACGGCCCAGACUCCUACGGGAGGCAGCAGUGGGGAAUAUUGGACGAUGGGCGAAAGACUGAUCCGGCAAUGCCGCGUGAGUGAUGAAGGCCUUAGGGUUGUAAAGCUCUUUUAACCGGGAUGAUAAUGACAGUACCGGGAGAAUAAGCUCCGGCUAACUACGUG